rnacentral:rRNA from 1 species
UACGGAGGGUGCAAGCGUUGCUCGGAAUCACUGGGCGUAAAGCGGACGCAGGCGGCUCGGCAGGUCGGGUGUGAAAGCCCGGGGCUCAACCCCGGAAUUGCACUCGAAACCGCCGACCUCGAGUACGGGAGAGGGAAGCGGAAUUCCUGGUGUAGAGGUGAAAUUCGUAGAUAUCAGGAGGAACACCGGUGGCGAAAGCGGCUUCCUGGCCCGAUACUGACGCUCAUGUCCGAAAGCGUGGGUAGCAAACAGG